CCGUCCGAGGGGCGCUGCAGCAGGUUCGACCUGUCAGGCUCGGUCGGGGCGUUGUCCGUCUCGCGGACGCUCAAACGCACAACGGCGCCCAUUCGCU
rnacentral:ncRNA from 1 species